rnacentral:rRNA from 1 species
GAUCAUGGCUCAGGACGAACGCUGGCGGCGCGCCUAACACAUGCAAGCCGAACGAGAGAGAAGGAGCUUGCUUCUUCGAUCGAGUGGCGAACGGGUGAGUAACGCGUGAGGAACCUUCCUCAAAGAGGGGGACAACAGUUGGAAACGACUGCUAAUACCGCAUAAGCCCACAGGUCGGCAUCGACCAGAGGGAAAAGGAGCAAUCCGCUUUGAGAUGGCCUCGCGUCCGAUUAGCUAGUUGG